rnacentral:rRNA from 1 species
UACGUAGGUGGCAAGCGUUAUCCGGAAUUACUGGGCGUAAAGCGCAUGCAGGCGGCCUUUUAAGAUUGGCGUGAAAGCUCCUGGCUUAACCGGGAGAGGUCGUUGAAGACUGGAAGGCUUGAGACAAUGAGAGGGGUGCAGAAUUCCCGGUGUAGUGGUGGAAUGCGUAGAUAUCGGGAGGAAUACCAGUGGCGAAAGCGGCACCCUGGCAUCGGUCUGACGCUCAUGUGCGAAGGCGUGGGGAGCGAACGGG